rnacentral:rRNA from 1 species
GAUCUCUUGGCUCUGGCAUCGAUGAAGAACGCAGCGAAAUGCGAUAAGUAGUGUGAAUUGCAGAAUUCAGUGAAUCAUCGAAUCUUUGAACGCACAUUGCGCCCCUUGGUAUUCCAUGGGGCAUGCCUGUUCGAGCGUCAUCUACACCCUCAAGCUCUGCUUGGUGUUGGGCGUCUGUCCCCGCCUCCGCGCGCGGACUCGCCCCAAAUCCAUUGGCAGCGUCCCCUCGCCCCCCUCUCGCGCAGCACGAAUGCGC